ACCUGCCCUUGACUCUGGGAUAAGCCUGGGAAACCGGGUCUAAUACUGGAUACGACCUUCUGGCGCAUGCCAUGUUGGUGGAAAGCUUUUGUGGUUUUGGAUGGACUCGCGGCCUAUCAGCUUGUUGGUGGGGUAAUGGCCUACCAAGGCGACGACGGGUAGCCGGCCUGAGAGGGUGACCGGCCACACUGGGACUGAGACACGGCCCAGACUCCUACGGGAGGCAGCAGUGGGGAAUAUUGCACAAUGGGCGCAAGCCUGAUGCAGCGACGCCGCGUGAGGGAUGAAGGCCUUCGGGUUGUAAACCUCUUUCAGUAGGGAAGAAGCUGGCCUUUUGGGUGGUGACGGUACCUGCAGAAGAAGCGCCGGCUAACUACGUGCCAGCAGCCGCGGUAAUACGUAGGGCGCAAGCGUUAUCCGGAAUUAUUGGGCGUAAAGAGCUCGUAGGCGGUUUGUCGCGUCUGCCGUGAAAGUCCGGGGCUUAACUCCGGAUCUGCGGUGGGUACGGGCAGACUAGAGUGCAGUAGGGGAGACUGGAAUUCCUGGUGUAGCGGUGAAAUGCGCAGAUAUCAGGAGGAACACCGAUGGCGAAGGCAGGUCUCUGGGCUGUAACUGACGCUGAGGAGCGAAAGCAUGGGGAGCGAACAGGAUUAGAUACCCUGGUAGUCCAUGCCGUAAACGUUGGGCACUAGGUGUG
rnacentral:rRNA from 1 species